CGAAUCUAAGUUCACAGGCAAAGACAGGGAUUGACCACCAUUAAGUAACUUCACUUCAUUAGAAUGAUUUUUCACUUCAAUACUGGUAUUUUCAUCUGCCUCCACAGAGUCCAAAAUAGAAACUGAUUUGGUGACUUCAUCAUCAGGUUUCCUUCCAUUGAAGCCAAAGUAUGCUGAUAGAGACGCAUAAGGAGCAGAAGAUGGAAAGGGGAAACUGUCCCCCACAACUUUCUUCAGAGAUGAUGAAAUAGCUGACAACCCAGAAAGGACAGCUGGAUUAUAUGGUUCAUGAGAAAAUGGAGAAAACCCUUCCGAUUCCAAGUUCAAUCCAUCGGUGCUUUUUUCAUCAAGUCCACUGCGUAUGGGAAUAUCAGUACUAAUUAUUCCAUUUUCAGCAGAAUACUCGAGAGAUGGAAUACUUGAAUUAGUUGAUGCUGAAUCAUGGGAUUCUUGAUUGGUUGGCAAGAUAUCUGCUACAUUCACAGAAGGAAUGGUAGAGAACAUUGCUUUUUGAUCAACAACAAAGGAGGUUUCGAGGAUUAAGUGAUAUGCCAUGAUAACGGCACAUCGCAUGACACAUUUGAUCCUCUUAAGUUCAUCACUGUGUGUUCCUUUCAGCAAAAUCUGCAAUUGCAGGUGAUGCGUAAGUUAAUAGCGCCCAAAACUUUAGAUGAAAAAUCAUUUUCAGUAAGAAAGACCAUAAACAACAACUUCACAUCCAUAUGAUGGCAGAUUAUGGUGGUAAAAAUCACCAAUAUUUGACAUCAUAAACCAACACAAGCACGGGGCAGAUAACAAAUAUCAUGUGCGAACAAUUUGAAAACAAAAAAUUACUACUCAAGUUGAUAAUAAUGAAGCAGAAAUUAUUUCGAAUUUCAUAAGUAUCAAAGAGGCAUAAAUCCCCAGACAUUCACACAGUACACUGAUACGUUGAAGUAUAUAUUCUUUGAAAAUGAGGGCAUGGAUAACUUUAAUGUUCAUCAAACAUGUUACAUAGUAUAUAACAACAUACAGUUUAUUUGCUAUCAAAGUGAAAAACAGCAUCAAUAUAUUAUGUAAAUAAUAAUAGAAUGCUAACUUCAACAAAAACAAAACCUUUGAACACCCAAGCCAAAAGACUGAGGAUUCAAGUACGGAGAAAUGUUUGCUUUCAAAUUUAUGUAAAUAAACACAAUACAAAUUUGCAGUGUCACAGAAGACGAAGAAUCCAUCUCAUUAGUUUUUAAGAUUUAGAAUUAGAAUCAUAAAUAAGAAAUGGAGGUUUCAAGUCACAAAUAAAAGCAUACCGUACAACCCAAACGUGUAGGGCAUUCACUUCAAUACUGGUAUUUUCAUCUGCCUCCACAGAGUCCAAAAUAGAAACUGAUUUGGUGACUUCAUCAUCAGGUUUCCUUCCAUUGAAGCCAAAGUAUGCUGAUAGAGACGCAUAAGGAGCAGAAGAUGGAAAGGGGAAACUGUCCCCCACAACUUUCUUCAGAGAUGAUGAAAUAGCUGACAACCCAGAAAGGACAGCUGGAUUAUAUGGUUCAUGAG
rnacentral:lncRNA from 1 species